UACAAGCGACUGUCUGAUAUGUUUGCUAUGUUAGGUUGUUACUCAAACUCAACGAUAUAUCAAACAUAUUUGUAUAGUUUCUUGUC
rnacentral:pre_miRNA from 1 species